GAAAUUUCUCACCUUCUACAGCACCAGAAACAAACAAGUUCAAGGGCUCCCCGCCACGGGCUCGCCUUUCCUCUCCAGACAAAGAGGAUCAAAAUCGCAAGAGGACUCUCAGCAAAGACAGGGACGACAGCUCUGAUGCCCGCCACACUAAAAAACACAAAAAGAGUAAGAAAAAGAAGAAAUCAAAGGAUAAAGACAGACACCGUGAGAGUGGAAGUUCUGACGGAGAUUCAGACAGAGCUGCGGAAAUGAAGAAGAAAAAGAA